GGAUGAACGCUAGCUACAGGCUUAACACAUGCAAGUCGAGGGGCAGCAUGGUCUUAGCUUGCUAAGGCCGAUGGCGACCGGCGCACGGGUGAGUAACACGUAUCCAACCUGCCGUCUACUCUUGGACAGCCUUCUGAAAGGAAGAUUAAUACAAGAUGGCAUCAUGAGUCCGCAUGUUCACAUGAUUAAAGGUAUUCCGGUAGACGAUGGGGAUGCGUUCCAUUAGAUAGUAGGCGGGGUAACGGCCCACCUAGUCUUCGAUGGAUAGGGGUUCUGAGAGGAAGGUCCCCCACAUUGGAACUGAGACACGGUCCAAACUCCUACGGGAGGCAGCAGUGAGGAAUAUUGGUCAAUGGGCGAGAGCCUGAACCAGCCAAGUAGCGUGAAGGAUGACUGCCCUAUGGGUUGUAAACUUCUUUUAUAAAGGAAUAAAGUCGGGUAUGCAUACCCGUUUGCAUGUACUUUAUGAAUAAGGAUCGGCUAACUCCGUGCCAGCAGCCGCGGUAAUACGGAGGAUCCGAGCGUUAUCCGGAUUUAUUGGGUUUAAAGGGAGCGUAGAUGGAUGUUUAAGUCAGUUGUGAAAGUUUGCGGCUCAACCGUAAAAUUGCAGUUGAUACUGGAUAUCUUGAGUGCAGUUGAGGCAGGCGGAAUUCGUGGUGUAGCGGUGAAAUGCUUAGAUAUCACGAAGAACUCCGAUUGCGAAGGCAGCCUGCUAAGCUGCAACUGACAUUGAGGCUCGAAAGUGUGGGUAUCAAACAGGAUUAGAUACCCUGGUAGUCCACACGGUAAACGAUGAAUACUCGCUGUUUGCGAUAUACAGCAAGCGGCCAAGCGAAAGCGUUAAGUAUUCCACCUGGGGAGUACGCCGGCAACGGUGAAACUCAAAGGAAUUGACGGGGGCCCGCACAAGCGGAGGAACAUGUGGUUUAAUUCGAUGAUACGCGAGGAACCUUACCCGGGCUUAAAUUGCAGAUGAAUUACGGUGAAAGCCGUAAGCCGCAAGGCAUCUGUGAAGGUGCUGCAUGGUUGUCGUCAGCUCGUGCCGUGAGGUGUCGGCUUAAGUGCCAUAACGAGCGCAACCCUUGUUGUCAGUUACUAACAGGUUCUGCUGAGGACUCUGACAAGACUGCCAUCGUAAGAUGUGAGGAAGGUGGGGAUGACGUCAAAUCAGCACGGCCCUUACGUCCGGGGCUACACACGUGUUACAAUGGGGGGUACAGAGGGCCGCUACCACGCGAGUGGAUGCCAAUCCCAAAAACCUCUCUCAGUUCGGACUGGAGUCUGCAACCCGACUCCACGAAGCUGGAUUCGCUAGUAAUCGCGCAUCAGCCACGGCGCGGUGAAUACGUUCCCGGGCCUUGUACACACCGCCCGUCAAGCCAUGGGAGCCGGGGGUACCUGAAGUGCGUAACCGCGAGGAGCGCCCUAGGGUAAAACUGGUGAAUG
rnacentral:rRNA from 1 species